AAUAUUUGACAAUGGGCGCAAGCCUGAUGCAGCAACGCCGCGUGCGCGACGAAGGNCUNNGGGUCNUNAAGCGCGUUUCGGGGNNNNNAGCACGGACAGUAGCCCCGGAAGUAGGACCGGCGAACUACGUGCCAGCAGCCGCGGGAAAACCUAUGACCCGAGCCUUAUUCGAAUUCACUGGGCGUAAAGCGCAUGCAGGCGGCCGGACAAGUUGGAUGUGAAAUCUCCCGGCUCAACUGGGAGGGGACGUUCAAAACUGUGCGGCUCGAGGGCGGUAGAGGAAGGUAGAAUUCACGGUGUAGUGGUGAAAUGCGUAGAUAUCGGGAGGAAUACCCGUGGCGAAGGCGACCUUCUGGACCGUUUCUGACGCUCAGAUGCGAAAGCUAGGGGAGCGAACGGG
rnacentral:rRNA from 1 species